CGGAGCCCGGCGCCGCGGCCAGGAUUUCCCACCUCGCUCCCGCGACUCCGCUGCGGGUCUGCACACCCGAGGACUCGGGGUACUUAACCGAAACUAGCAAUCCCAGGCGGUACAAGGCCCUCCAUCGUAGGCAAAGCACUACCUGAAUGUAGAUUUGGGCCAUACGUUGGAAAAUAAGACAUGAGAGUAUGCUCCGAUCAACUUUUACUGUUCACUGGACAACUAUUUUGGGAAUUUGCAGACCUAUAAAGCCCAUCUAUAAAUCUCAAGCAUGUCCACUUUCAGAGAAGAGAAAUGCUGACAACCAUUUAGUCUCUGAGGACAACACUUUUAAAGUGUAACAAUGUGGCAUCCAGAGCUUAUCCAGAUGAGCGGAGAGCAAAUGAAUUUCCUUCUGCUCCCCUGUUGAAGAGGAGAGAAAAAUUCUUCAAGCUGGAGAACUACUUGAUCUUAA
rnacentral:lncRNA from 1 species